CGACGUAGGUAACCUGCCUGGUAGCGGGGGAUAACUAUUGGAAACGAUAGCUAAUACCGCAUAAUAGCAGUUAUUGCAUGAUAACUGUUUGAAAGGUGCAAUUGCAUCACUACCAGAUGGACCUGCGUUGUAUUAGCUAGUUGGUGGGGUAACGGCCCACCAAGGCGACGAUACAUAGCCGACCUGAGAGGGUGAUCGGCCACACUGGGACUGAGACACGGCCCAG
rnacentral:rRNA from 1 species